GUGCCAGCAGCCGCGGUAAGACGAACCGUGCGAACGUUGUUCGGAAUCACUGGGCUUAAAGGGCGCGUAGGCGGCUCAUCAAGUCGGGGGUGAAAUACUUCAGCUUAACUGGAGAAGUGCCUUCGAUACUGGUGGGCUUGAGGGAGGUAGGGGUCUUUGGAACUUCUGGUGGAGCGGUGAAAUGCGUUGAUAUCAGAAGGAACGCCGGUGGCGAAAGCGAAGGACUGGACCUCUUCUGACGCUGAGGCGCGAAAGCUAGGGGAGCAAACGGGAUUAGAUACCCCGGUAGUCCUAGCCCUAAACGAUGGGUACUAGAUUGUAGACUUGACAUGGGUUUACAGUCGAAGCAAAAGUGUUAAGUACCCCGCCUGGGGAGUAUGGUCGCAAGGCUGAA
rnacentral:rRNA from 1 species